UUUGACCUACGGGGGGCAGCAGUGGGGGAUAUUGCACAAUGGGGGGAACCCUGAUGCAGCGACGCCGCGUGGGUGAAGAAGCGCCUCGGCGCGUAAAGCCCUGUCAGCAGGGAAGAAAAUGACGGUACCUGAAGAAGAAGCCCCGGCUAACUACGUGCCAGCAGCCGCGGUAAUACGUAGGGGGCAAGCGUUAUCCGGAUUUACUGGGUGUAAAGGGGGCGCAGACGGCGAUGCAAGCCAGGAGUGAAAGCCCGGGGCGCAACGCCGGGACUGCUCUUGGAACUGUGUGGGUGGAGUGAAGGAGG
rnacentral:rRNA from 1 species